rnacentral:misc_RNA from 1 species
GGCAUGCCUUUCCAUCCUUUCCCUCCACUACCACCAUUUCCCCAUCACAAGAAAGAAACUCCAUCUGCUGUUAAUUCUAUGGUGAUUGAUGAAACUACAGAAGGCCAACAGGACAGACAUGAUCCUGCUGCUUGUUAUCCAAAUGAAAACAAUCCGAGCACGAAUGGUGCUAACCAACCAGACUUAGACAUUCCUGGUGAAAAUGGCCAACAAACAUUUAAACGAGCUAAGGGAUCCUCGCAUGAUUUGGGAAGAAGGUACUUCAGGCAGCAAAAGUGGAAUAAAGGGCCUCCUUGGAAUUGCAAGAGUGAUGGGUGGGGAUACUUAGAAAAUAACUUAAGAGAUGAAGUAUGCAGUACUGAUGUGCGGAGUGUAACAAAUGAGCACAGAAAUUUGUAACUGUUCACAGGAUAGAAGUUGUAGAGUUAAAAAAGCUGGCAAUUGCAUUAAUCAGCAGAAGAGCACCUAAAUGAGCAUUCAUUCUUAGGAAAAUCACUCAAGCUUCUGGAUUUUCUUCCAUACUUUGAU